rnacentral:rRNA from 1 species
UACGUAGGGUGCAAGCGUUGUCCGGAAUUAUUGGGCGUAAAGAGCUCGUAGGCGGUCUGUUGCGUCGGCUGUGAAAACCCGGGGCUCAACCCCGGGCCUGCAGCCGAUACGGGCAGACUAGAGUUCGGCAGGGGAGACUGGAAUUCCUGGUGUAGCGGUGAAAUGCGCAGAUAUCUGGAGGAAUACCGGUGGCGAAGGCGGCAUCCUGGACCGGCAUUGACGCUGAGGAGCGAAAGCCAGGGGAGCAAACGGG